rnacentral:rRNA from 1 species
AUUGAACGCUGGCGGCAGGCCUAACACAUGCAAGUCGAACGAGUGGCGGACGGGUGAGUAAUGUCUGGGAAACUGCCCGAUGGAGGGGGAUAACUACUGGAAACGGUAGCUAAUACCGCAUACCAUCGGAUGUGCCCAGAUGGGAUUAGCUUGUAGGUGAGGUAACGGCUCACCUAGGCGACGAUCCCUAGCUGGUCUGAGAGGAUGACCAGCGACACUGGAAUGGAGAACCGGCCGAGAUUGCUACGGGAGGCAGCAGUGGGGAGUAUUGCACAAUGGGCGCAAGCCUGCUGCAGCCCUGCCGGGUGAAUGAAGAAGGCCUUCGGGUUGUAAAGUACUUUCAGCGGGGAGGCGUUACCCGCAGAGGAAGCACCGGCUAACUCCGUGCCAGCAGCCGCGGUAAUUC